CAUACGCCCUACGGGGGAAAGCAGGGGAUCUUCGGACCUUGCGCUAAUAGUUUCUGCCUAAGUCAGAUUAGCUAGUUGGUGGGGUAAAGGCCUACCAAGGCGACGAUCUGUAGCGGGUCUGAGAGGAUGAUCCGCCACACUGGGACUGAGACACGGCCCAGACUCCUACGGGAGGCAGCAGUGGGGAAUAUUGGACAAUGGGCGGAAGCCUGAUCCAGCCAUGCCGCGUGUGUGAAGAAGGCCUUUUGGUUGUAAAGCACUUUAAGCGAGGAGGAGGCUACCGAGACUAAUACUCUUGGAUAGUGGACGUUACUCGCAGAAUAAGCACCGGCUAACUCUGUGCCAGCAGCCGCGGGUGRRKRSAGGAGGGUGCGAGCGUUAAUCGGAUUUACUGGGCGUAAAGCGUGCGUAGGCGGCUUUUUAAGUCGGAUGUGAAAUCCCUGAGCUUAACUUAGGAAUUGCAUUCGAUACUGGGAAGCUAGAGUAUGGGAGAGGAUGGUAGAAUUCCAGGUGUAGCGGUGAAAUGCGUAGAGAUCUGGAGGAAUACCGAUGGCGAAGGCAGCCAUCUGGCCUAAUACUGACGCUGAGGUACGAAAGCAUGGGGAGCAAACAGGAUUAGAUACCCUGGUAGUCCAUGCCGUAAACGAUGUCUACUAGCCGUUGGGGCCUUUGAGGCUUUAGUGGCGCAGCUAACGCGAUAAGUAGACCGCCUGGGGAGUACGGUCGCAAGACUAAAACUCAAAUGAAUUGACGGGGGCCCGCACAAGCGGUGGAGCAUGUGGUUUAAUUCGAUGCAACGCGAAGAACCUUACCUGGUCUUGACAUWGUAWGAACUUUCCAGAGAUGGAUUGGUGCACUUCGGGAACUUACAUACAGGUGCUGCAUGGCUGUCGUCAGCUCGUGUCGUGAGAUGUUGGGUUAAGUCCCGCAACGAGCGCAACCCUUUUCCUUAUUUGCCAUCGGGUUAAGCCGGGAACUUUAAGGAUACUGCCAGUGACAAACUGGAGGAAGGCGGGGACGACGUCAAGUCAUCAUGGCCCUUACGACCAGGGCUACACACGUGCUACAAUGGUCGGUACAAAGGGUUGCUACCUAGCGAUAGGAUGCUAAUCUCAAAAAGCCGAUCGUAGUCCGGGAUUGG
rnacentral:rRNA from 1 species